CCUACGGGUGGCAGCAGUGAGGAAUAUUGGUCAAUGGACGAGAGUCUGAACCAGCCAAGUAGCGUGAAGGAUGACUGCCCUAUGGGUUGUAAACUUCUUUUAUAUGGGAAUAAAACGUUCCACGUGUGGGAUUUUGUAUGUACCAUAUGAAUAAGGAUCGGCCAACUCCGUGCCAGCAGCCGCGGUAAUACGGAGGAUCCGAGCGUUAUCCGGAUUUAUUGGGUUUAAAGGGAGCGUAGGUGGAUUGUUAAGUCAGUUGUGAAAGUUUGCGGCUCAACCGUAAAAUUGCAGUUGAAACUGGCAGUCUUGAGUACAGUAGAGGUGGGCGGAAUUCGUGGUGUAGCGGUGAAAUGCUUAGAUAUCACGAAGAACUCCGAUUGCGAAGGCAGUUCACUGGACUGCAACUGACACUGAGGCUCGAAAGUGUGGGUAUCAAACAGGAUUAGAUACCCCUGUAGUC
rnacentral:rRNA from 1 species